GAACUUCAGCAGCACAUAAACUAGAAUUGGAAUGAUACAGAGAAGAUUAGCAUGCCUCCGGCACAGAUUCGUGAACAAGCCUUAUUUUUA
rnacentral:snRNA from 1 species